rnacentral:rRNA from 1 species
CCUACGGGAGGCAGCAGUGGGGGAUAUUGCACAAUGGGGGGAACCCUGAUGCAGCGACGCCGCGUGGGUGAAGGAGUGCUUCGGCAUGUAAAGCCCUAUCGGCAGGGAAGAAGCAAAACGGUACCUGACUAAGAAGCCCCGGCUAACUACGUGCCAGCAGCCGCGGUAAUACGGAGGGGGCGAGCGUUAUCCGGAUUCACUGGGGGGAAAGGGGGCGUAGACGGGCAUGCAAGCCAGGGGUGAAAGCCCGGGGCCCAACCCCGGGACUGCCCUUGGAACUGCAUGGCUUGAGUGCGGGAGGGGCAGGCGGAAUUCCUGGUGUAGCGGUGAAAUGCGUAGAUAUCAGGAGGAACACCGGCGGCGAAGGCGGACGGCUGGACCGCGACUGACGUUGAGGCUCGAAAGCGUGGGGAGCGAACAGGAUUAGAUACCCGUGUAGUC